rnacentral:rRNA from 1 species
GAUGAACGCUGGCGGCGUGCCUAAUACAUGCAAGUCGAGCGAACAGACGAGGAGCUUGCUCCUCUGACGUUAGCGGCGGACGGGUGAGUAACACGUGGAUAACCUACCUAUAAGACUGGGAUAACUUCGGGAAACCGGAGCUAAUACCGGAUAACAUGUUGAACCGCAUGGUUCAACAGUGAAAGACGGUCUUGCUGUCACUUAUAGAUGGAUCCGCGCCGCAUUAGCUAGUUGGUAAGGUAACGGCUUACCAAGGCAACGAUGCGUAGCCGACCUGAGAGGGUGAUCGGCCACACUGGAACUGAGACACGGUCCAGACUCCUACGGGAGGCAGCAGUAGGGAAUCUUCCGCAAUGGGCGAAAGCCUGACGGAGCAACGCCGCGUGAGUGAAGGAGGUCUUCGGAUCGUAAAACUCUGUUAUUAGGGAAGAACAAAUGUGUAAGUAACUAUGCACGUCUUGACGGUACCUAAUCAGAAAGCCACGGCUAACUACGUG